rnacentral:tRNA from 1 species
CCUCACUCCUCCCUAAGACUC